UUUGAACUCUUGACUCCAGGCUCUUUGAGAAAGAAGCAUAAUGGUGGAAAUUAAAGUUCUCUAAUGGGACCAAGUGGUAGAACAAGAUUUCUUACCUUUCCAGUCUGUCCUGGAAGGACCACCAAGGUGCUCCAGAUCCUCUAAAGAAGCAUCCAAGGGCUAUUCUGAACCAAACUGACAAAGUGGAACAACCUUGAGUUGCAGGAAGUAAAAGUUCUGGAGGCUGGAAAGUACAAGAUCAAGACACCAGCAGAUCCAGUGUCUGAUGAGGACCCAUCUCCUCGCUCACAGAUGGCACCUUUUCGCUGCAUUCUCACAAGGCAGAAGAGAAGAGGAAUCUCACUGGGGCUUCUUCUGCCAUUCAUGCUGAAAUCUUCUGGCUAACCUCCAUCAUGUCCAUGUUCCUCUUAUGCGACAUAUAUCUAAGGUGAUCCAUUGAAAAGGCACUUCUGGGUCUUAUUGCAGAAUACAAAGAGAAAACACAAGAACAACAACAAAAAAUUGUUCUAUUUGUAUCACGGUCUGCUCCAUGACUCAAGGUGAGGGAAACAACGUAAGAUCCAAAAUGUUCAGUAACUUGCCUCAGGAUAAAAGCUAGAAUAAGGAAUACUACAACCAUCGCCAUGUGAAUUAAGUCUGGCCGAGGCUGUGUGAUAAUGGAAGACAUGUGGCCUGUCACCGUGCUGUCACUGAUCCAAGCACCAGACCUGUGAGUAAUGCCAUCCCGACCACCUGGUCCCAGCUGAGGUGCUCCAUGAGCCCAGACUAGAACUGC